rnacentral:rRNA from 1 species
GCGUAGGAAGCUACCCGACAGAGGGGGAUACCAGUUGGAAACGACUGUUAAUACCGCAUAAUGUCUACGGACCAAAGUGUGGGACCUUCGGGCCACAUGCUGUCGGAUGCGCCUACGUGGGAUUAGCUAGUUGGUGAGGUAAUGGCUCACCAAGGCGACGAUCCCUAGCUGGUUUGAGAGGAUGAUCAGCCACACUGGAACUGAGACACGGUCCAGACUCCUACGGGAGGCAGCAGUGGGGAAUAUUGGACAAUGGGCGAAAGCCUGAUCCAGCCAUGCCGCGUGUGUGAAGAAGGCCUUCGGGUUGUAAAGCACUUUCAGUAGGGAGGAAGAGUUGAGUGUUAAUAGUACUCAGCUUUGACGUUACCUACAGAAGAAGCACCGGCUAACUCUGUGCCAGCAGCCGCGGUAAUACAGAGGGUGCAAGCGUUAAUCGGAAU